ACCCUGGUUAACAGUUGUCAAUAGAUAAAAGCCUGUUAGUAAAAACAGUCAUAAGAAAUAUAUUACUGGUGAUAAAUAGUUGUCAAUAAAUAGAACAUAAUGGUUAAGGAAAUUCAUUAAAAACAUCAGCAAUGAUAUAAUUCAUGGUAUAGGAUUUCAUUUGUGUUUAAACAUAUGUUAAAAGGUUAAAAAACUUGCUAAUUCAUGGUGUUUUUAUGUUAAUUCAGGUAAAAUGGCUAAAAUAUGUGUUCAGACUCUUAUUGUGAAAGGGUACGCUGCAGCGUGACUCCUGUGAUCAGCCACACCCAAUCGGGUUGUUCCUUCUUUUUGAUGCUGGAGAGGGAGAAAUGCAGAUAGUCGUUGCGGAGCUGCUGCCUAAACGAGUGAAAAAAUAUUAAAAAACAAGUCAGAAGCCUACAUAAAGCCAUUUUUGUACUCUGGAGAAUAUAUUUUUGUUUUUUCCGACCUGUCUUUGCCUUGGUGACGUUGUGAACAUAACCGAACGGGACUUGGCCAUUAAGGUUUGGAUCGGGAAAUGCCGAGCUAGAAUCGGAGUUUGAUCCGCUGAGCGAGAAACAAGAUGGCGAGCCACCCAGGGACCCAUUGAACUGUACCGAGCAGGAAAAAGGAAACUGCCCCUGCUGGACGUUGAACUCUUUCACUAAAAAACUGGUAGGAUUAAUCCAUACACCUCUGCAAAAGAACAGUGGACUUUCAAAGCACUGGAUAAUCAUUCAGAGCAAUUCCAGGAUUUAUAGUUAAAGGACACAGAGACAAUUUUCUUUUGUUUAUUUGUUUGUUUAAGGGAUUUGUUCAGCCUUUUGCUGAAUUGUUUUCAGUUUUUACAUGUUUUGUAACUUAUUUUGGACAACCAAUUUUAAUGCUGUAAUGGUGUUAAUGGAAAUGUAAAUAAUUUUGUUGGGUUAAAACAAAAUAAGGAAUGGUUGAAAUUUAAAGGUUGAACUUAGACCAAGAUUAAAUUAAAUCUUGGGCUUAAAAGAACUAAGCUUGAUUUAAAUAACACAGUGUUAAUUCAAAUAGGUCAAAGGAUAAACUUGAACUUAGAACUUGAAAUGAAUAAAACAAUAACCUAGGUUGAAAAUAACAUCCUUUUAAAGCCAAAUAAAAGGUUUUGAAAUAAAUAGGAUAAAUUAACAGAAAUUACUGAACUAAAAGGAAAGAAAAUAUCUUGUUUCCUUAAAGGUGUGUUGAAUGUUUUAUAUAAUGUUUGUCAACUGUCUAUUAUCUCUGUCUUUUCCAAAAUAACAAGCCGGCAAUUUAAACGUA